ACCCUCUCAGGGUGGCACCUGGAGGGUUUCCAGUCCUCUACCAGUCUCGGCUAAGGGAGGGAGAGUCAAGCAGAGGCCUACCCUUUCCAUUCCUAGCUUGGCCAGUGGCUAGCGAGUGGAAAACAAUCUGCUACAAGU
rnacentral:snoRNA from 1 species